UACGUAGGCAGCGAGCGUUGUUCGGAAUUACUGGGCGUAAAGAGUGUGUAGGCGGUGCUCUAAGUUCGGUGUGAAAUCUCCUGGCUCAACUGGGAGGGUGCGCCGGAAACUGGAGUGCUUGAGCGUGGGAGAGGAAAGCGGAAUUCCUGGUGUAGCGGUGAAAUGCGUAGAUAUCAGGAGGAACACCUGUGGUGUAGACAGCUUACUGGACCAUAACUGACGCUGAGGCACGAAAGCGUGGGUAGCAAACAGG
rnacentral:rRNA from 1 species